rnacentral:rRNA from 1 species
ACCUUUGAGAGAGAGUAGAGGACGUGAAACCGAUAAGAUUGAAACGGAUAGAGCCGACGUAUCUAACCCGUAUUCAGCUGUGGGGUGGUGCUGGUUGAAUGGAUUGGUCCCGCUUUUGGCUGGUUCAUUCGUUUCUGGUACCGUCUAGCAGUGCAUUUACAGGUGGAGUGCGCUGAGAGGUACACUUCAGUGGUUGGAAAUCAGCCAAGAGGCCUUAACCUUCGGGUAAAGAAACCCAGGCUGGUGGAAGACUGUUUGUUGUGUAUGGCAAAAAAGAGUAUGGCCUACGAGUCGAUCGGCUUCUUGCUUUGCGGUGGAUAGUAGUCGCAUGCGACUGUUACCACCUGUAGGGCAGGCGGCUGGUGCUGAUUCUCAUGCUCGUUCUCGGUGUAAAAGUUGGUCAUCUAUCCGACCCGUCUUGAAACACGGACCAAGGAGUUUAGCGAAUGCGCAAGUCAUUGGGUGUUAAAAUCCAAAGGCGCAAUGAAAGUAAAGGUAUCCUUAUGGUGCUGAUAUGCGAUCCCGGGUAUUUCGGUGCCUGGGCGCAGCAUAGCCCCAUCCUAAUUGCUUGCAAUGGGGUGGAGGUAGAGCGUAUUCGCUGAGACCCGAAAGAUGGUGAACUAUGCCUGAGCAGGAUGAAGCCAGAGGAAACUCUGGUGGAAGUCCGAAGCGGUUCUGACGUGCAAAUCGAUCGUCUGACUUGGGUAUAGGGGCGAAAGACUAAUCGAACCGUCUAGUAGCUGGUUCCUUCCGA